AGUGAACGCUGGCGGUAGGCCUAACACAUGCAAGUCGAACGGCAGCACAGGAGAGCUUGCUCUCCGGGUGGCGAGUGGCGGACGGGUGAGGAUUACAUCGGAAUCUACUUUUUCGUGGGGGAUAACGUAGGGAAACUUACGCUAAUACCGCAUACGACCUACGGGUGAAAGCAGGGGACCUUCGGGCCUUGCGCGAUUGAAUGAGCCGAUGUCGGAUUAGCUAGUUGGCGGGGUAAAGGCCCACCAAGGCGACGAUCCGUAGCUGGUCUGAGAGGAUGAUCAGCCACACUGGAACUGAGACACGGUCCAGACUCCUACGGGAGGCAGCAGUGGGGAAUAUUGGACAAUGGGCGCAAGCCUGAUCCAGCCAUACCGCGUGGGUGAAGAAGGCCUUCGGGUUGUAAAGCCCUUUUGUUGGGAAAGAAAUCCAGCCGGCUAAUACCCUGGGGUCAUGACGGUACCGUAAGAAUAAGCACCGGCUAACUACGUGCCAGCCGCCGCGGUAA
rnacentral:rRNA from 1 species